UGAGGAAUAUUGGUCAAUGGGCGGAAGCCUGAACCAGCCAAGUAGCGUGAGGGAAGACUGCCCUACGGGUUGUAAACCUCUUUUGUUUGGGAAUAAAGUGCGGGACGCGUCCCGCAUUGCAUGUACCAUUUGAAUAAGGACCGGCUAAUUCCGUGCCAGCAGCCGCGGUAAUACGGAAGGUCCGGGCGUUAUCCGGAUUUAUUGGGUUUAAAGGGAGCACAGGCCGGCUGUCAAGCGUGUUGUGAAAUGUAGGGGCUCAACCUCUGAACUGCAGCGCGAACUGACGGUCUUGAGUGCGCACAACGUUGGCGGAAUUCGUCGUGUAGCGGUGAAAUGCUUAGAUAUGACGAAGAACUCCGAUUGCGAAGGCAGCUGACGGGAGCGUUACUGACGCUUAAGCUCGAAAGUGCGGGUAUCGAACAGGAUUAGAUACCCUGGUAGU
rnacentral:rRNA from 1 species